GGGGAGGAGAUGGAAGAUGGGCUGGAGCUGGGUUCUGGUCGUGGACACCGGCCCCACCCCUCGCCGCCCUGUGGUCCUCAGCCUGGAUAGACCCUCAGCCUGGGACCUUCAGCCUGGGUGGACCCUCAGCCUGGAUGGACCAUCAGCCUGGAUGGACCCUCAGCCUGGGACCUUCAGCCUGGGUGGACCCUCAGCCUGGGUGGACUCUCAGCCUGUGAUCUUCUGGAGGGAGUUGGUCCACGUUGGCUCAUCCUGGCAGCAUCACAGGCAUUGCCAAACUCUCGGAACCGCCCGUGGGGCUGGGGCCCGCCUGGGGCACUCUGCUCCUCCUCUGGAGCUCCAGGGGCCCCAGCAAGAUGCUUGGCUUCCAUGACACGUGCUCCGAAGUCCCUGGUGAUGGGGCCUGCUCCAGAGAGAGAUGACAAUUUGGCUCAAAGAGUCGAGAGGACUCUGCCCAGGAUCACACCCCUGGCUCCCUCCAGGAACGGCAGGUCACAGUGAGGAGUCCAGCAUGUGGGAGAAUCUCCAACCAGACGGGUGCCUCUGCUGUGUUGGGAGAUUUAUGUCAUCCAAUAGUCACUCAACAAACACCCCAGGCAUGAAGCAGAGAGUCUGUGUCAUGGCAGGAAAGGGGUAGUCUUUGCCCAGAGACUGCUGUCACCAGGAAGCCUGACCUUUCCUUAGGACAGCAGGAGGUGGGAACUCAGCGUCUUUCAGGCCUCUGUGACCAAGCAGACCUGCUCCCCUGGGCUGGCCUGAGGGUGGCCGUGGAGGGGUG
rnacentral:lncRNA from 1 species